UGGGGAAUUUUGGACAAUGGGGGAAACCCUGAUCCAGCCAUCCCGCGUGUGCGAUGAAGGCCUUCGGGUUGUAAAGCACUUUUGGCAGGAAAGAAACGUCAUGGGUUAAUACCCCGUGAAACUGACGGUACCUGCAGAAUAAGCACCGGCUAACUACGUGCCAGCAGCCGCGGUAAUACGUAGGGUGCAAGCGUUAAUCGGAAUUACUGGGCGUAAAGCGUGCGCAGGCGGUUCGGAAAGAAAGAUGUGAAAUCCCAGAGCUCAACUUUGGAACUGCAUUUUUAACUACCGGGCUAGAGUGUGACAGAGGGAGGAGGAAUUCCGCGGGUAGCAGUGAAAUGCGUAGAUAUGCGGAGGAACACCGAUGGCGAAGGCAGCCGCCUGGGAUAACACUGACGCUCAUGCACGAAAGCGUGGGGAGCAAACAGG
rnacentral:rRNA from 1 species